UGGAGCUGAUGUGUAUCUCUUUCUGAACCAGGUUGUAAGAAGCAGGAAUCCACCACAUACUCUCUUUCUUCUUCUGUUGUCUUUGCGCAGGAAACAGCAAGGCUCUAGACAUGAUGUGGCCACAGGAUGGAAGGGUGCUGCAAUCCCCUCCACCCCAGCUCUCACACACAGCUGAGGAGGGCUGUUUCUGAAAUAAGGACCUUCCUUUGACAGGGAGGGGACACAGAUGGCCCAAUUUGCCAGUGAGGCUCUGAAGAAAGCCCAAGCUUGAGAUGGGCUUUGGAUGGUGGGUGCUGGUAAGAGGGGCAGUGUUCUGAACCAAGGAUACGCCUUGUGGAACAGAGAGAGAAAGUCACAGAAGAGCAACAAAGGGCAGAGGCAGACGGGUGAGGAGGGCUGCUUGAGGCAUCAGAGGAAGAACAGAAGAAAGAUCCCAUGUGACAGGAGGAGAAUGAGGACGAAGAGCUCUCUUGUAGAAGUACUGGGCUGCGCUGACAUCGUGAGAGAGAGGAGAACUAGGCCAACGGUCCUCAUGAAUUCCUUAAUAUCCCUCAGUCCUGGAGGAUUUCCUGAGGAAAAAAUUAGAAAAG
rnacentral:lncRNA from 1 species